GCAAAAUCACAAAGCUGGUGACCUAAGAGAUUGCAAUCUGUCCAAGAAUGUUGGUAUAGCCCCAGGGUGGUACAGCUGGUAGGGACACCAUGUGCAAAAGGUUAGGGAUUCACGUGUGAGUCAGAGGAACUGGGAAAUCUUUGUAAAAAUUACCAGAAAUCCCCCUUUACAUAUUUUCUUUUCCUCAUGACUCAUCCCACAGAAAAGAGAUAAUGUGGAAAGAUGUGUCUCUACAGGCAAUUUUUCACACCAGAGAUGACAGAGAAGGUACAGUCCAGAGCUACGGGGGAGGAAAUGAAAUGGGGCACGUCAGUCCAUGCACCCCCCCAGUCCUUCAUCCUUCUGUCUCUCUUCAGAAGAAGGUUGCAGGUGGAAGAAGCUGUGGGCCAUCACUGCUCUGGUGCUGAAUCAGAGGGGGUUCUCGAGACAGCCAAGGAGAAGAACAGCAACCCAAAAAUGGGAAUUGUCUUCUUCAGAGCUGGAAAAGUCUGGGGAUCCGAGUUCCCUUGUUGUCAGAAACGUAACUUACACAGACGGGGCCACUCAAAUCCACUGUUGCAAUCUUCUCAGAGCUGGUGUUGGUCACUGCCAUGUUUUCCACCACCACCACUGGUGGACUGAGGUCUUUGGAGGCAUAAUUUGAUGUGCAGCGCCUGAGAAACGGAGCAAAACAAAUCAUUAGGUGUCAGAUAAGCCCAAGGAGCUGUUUGGAUUUUGAACCCGAUCCAACUGAACCAAGAACAGGAUAUAACUCAUGGCAGUACAGAACUGAUAGCUGGGACACAGCUCAUUUAAUUAAUUACGGAGGUGGCCUUUCCCCUAAUUUUCAGCCCUUUCACAUAAAACACAUCUUAUGACCCCCUGCAUCUUUCAACUUUUCCCCACGGAUACCUUCUCAGUUUGGCUACUUGCAUUUAAACUAAAGCUGAGCAAAAUGUUUGAAGGUUUCUCAAGACAGUUUAUUUACUUUCUCAUAAUGAAAAUAAACAUCUCAAGGAAUGUC